GACGAACGCUGGCGGCGUGCUUAACACAUGCAAGUCGAACGGAAAGGCCCUGCUUGCAGGGUGCUCGAGUGGCGAACGGGUGAGUAACACGUGGGUGAUCUGCCCUGCACUUCGGGAUAAGCUUGGGAAACUGGGUCUAAUACCGGAUAGGACUACGGCCUGCAUGGGUUGUGGUGGAAAGUGCGGUGUGUAAAAGCACUGUGCGGUGUGGGAUGGGCCCGCGGCCUANCAGCUUGUUGGUGGGGUGAUGGCCUACCAAGGCGACGACGGGUAGCCGGCCUGAGAGGGUGUCCGGCCACACUGGGACUGAGAUACGGCCCAGACUCCUACGGGAGGCAGCAGUGGGGAAUAUUGCACAAUGGGCGCAAGCCUGAUGCAGCGACGCCGCGUGGGGGAGUGACGGCCUCGGUUGUU
rnacentral:rRNA from 1 species